AAGGCCUUAGUUUAAUUAAAACAUUUGGGUUGCAUAUAGAAGAUGUGGAGUAGAAUCUACAGGUCUUA
rnacentral:tRNA from 1 species